AGGCACGACAAGAGUUAGCUUCGGACCACACCCGAAUUUCACAUCUGAAAUUAUAAAUUUGAGUACAUACUGUUUCAGUUUGCUUAUGAAAGUGGGGGAAAAUUCAACCACAUGUUCCAAGAAUAGAACAUAUAUCUUCACCAAAACUAACAACAUUCUUUGACAUGUAAGAAAAAAAUCAUAAAUAAGUCUUAAAUAGUGAUAUGGUAUAUGUUAUUUUUGAAA
ensembl:ncRNA C09B9.82 ncRNA